AACAAAAUUUAGUUGAGUGGGCAAAGCCAUACCUUAUAAGCAGACGCAAUGUUUUCCGAGUGUUGGAUGCUCGCAUGGAAGGUCAUUAUACGAUUGGUGCCGUGCGAAAAGCAUUCGACCUUGCACUCCUAUGCUUGUCAACAGAACCAAAGCUUAGGCCGAAUAUGGAAGAAGUGGUAAAAGCUCUUGAACAACUUUAUGAUUCCAAUGACAAUGGAGUCCUCCAAGGGUAAACCCUACAAAAAGGUCAUUGACAACUUAAGCAAAUAUCACAGCAAAGUGUUGAUAAAGUUGCUAUGAGAAAGCUGACUGUGUUCUCCUGUAAUCCUGUUUGUUAAUAUAAGAGGGAAAAUAUUUGAUAUAUGAUUAACUAUUUAAUUGAUUCAAGGAAAUUUGCAUUUAUGUGAGUUUUAUGUAUUGUAUUUGUAUAUAGACUUGUAGAAUAACAGUAUUAUUCUGUACACUUUCAGUUCCAUUAAUCUAAAUUGAGACAUUUUGAC
rnacentral:misc_RNA from 1 species